rnacentral:rRNA from 1 species
UACGUAGGGUGCAAGCGUUGUCCGGAAUUAUUGGGCGUAAAGAGCUCGUAGGCGGUUUGUUGCGUCGGCUGUGAAAUCCCGAGGCUCAACCUCGGGUCUGCAGUCGAUAUGAGCAAACUAGAGUGUUGCAGGGGAGACUGGAAUUCCUGGUGUAGCGGUGAAAUGCGCAGAUAUCAGGAGGAACACCGAUGGCGAAGGCAGGUCUCUGGGCCACUACUGACGCUGAGAAGCGAAAGCGUGGGGAGCGAACAGG